rnacentral:lncRNA from 1 species
GUCAAUUAUAAUCUACAAAACAUAACACCAUAGAUACUACCUCCUAAAAAAAAGUUAUUUAACAUAAUCAAAAUUGGUUGUUUAUAUCUUUCUGUUUCUAUAAAAUGUGCUGAAAAUCUUUUGGGUUUUAUUGAAAAAUAAUUUGGAUGACUGCAGAACUCCAUAGGCAUUAUAGAAACUGUCGUAAAGUAGCUUUUGUAGGGCAUUUGUUAUCAGAAGUUUUAAAGGUUGUAAGUUGUUUGUGAUAUAUAAUAUAAUGUGCAAUACAAAAGUUUUAUAACGAUUUGUUUUAACAGGUUGCUAAUUUAUCCAUUAUUAUUUUUAUCUCAGAGAACUUUUCACUGCCAAUAUUAGGAAUAGGAAAGGAAUGUGUAGCGCUUUGACUCUAUGGUGCUAAAAUCAUGCAGUUUUUAAAUUUAGAAAAUAUUCAUAGACGAUUUAGGAUUUAAAGACUUCAUAGUAUUUUUACCAUUUGCAUUGUGCUCCCUGAUUGUUAUAUUUUUUUUUUGCAGCUGUGGAAAGAAUUUUAUGAUAUGUAAAUUUUGAUAAGUGAUUUUUGAAAAAAAAUCGGAAUGUCUUAUUCAUAAUUCUUCAUUAUCAACCAGUCAUACAAAUUAAACAAGUUCAUUUAUGGGUAAUAUAAAUGUCAGACGUUGUAAAUUUUAUAAAUCAUUUUGUUUGUCAAUCAUGAAAAACUCUGUUGUAAAAGCAAAGGCAAUGCUUAGUUUGUUUUGAAUUUUGUUUUGUCUUUCAAAUAGUGUACAUUCCUUUCAUUUGCAUUAUAAACCAAAGACACGUUGUGUUAUUCUAUUUAUUAAAAUGUAUCAACCUGUUUAUAAUUUUGUCUGCUGCAAUAUUCAUAUAGCAGAUCUGUAUAGAUAUAAAACCUCAUUUAACCUGUAAAACAUGUUAGAUUCAAUACUUCUAGAUCCAGAACUUACUUGAAAUUUCUUAUGUACAAAUUAGACUAAAUAGCAACACUAGAUGAAACCAAAAAUAGUUCAAAAUUGAGUGCCAUUUUUUGUUAUGCAAAAUGUUUUCUGCUGUACAAACUUGUUAAUCUAUUGUUAAUUUGUUUAUUUAAUUUUUACCCUUUUCUGCUUUUGAUUGGUAAAAUUCUUCUGAAAGUCAGACAU